rnacentral:rRNA from 1 species
CCCUUAGAUGUUCUGGGCCGCACGCGCGCUGCACUGAUGCAUUCAACGAGUCUAAAACCUGCUCUGAUAGGGGUGGGUAAUCUUUUGAAUGUGCAUCGUGAUUGGGAUAGAUGAUUGCAAUUUUUCAUCUUCAACGAGGAAUGCCUAGUAAACGCAAGUCAUCAGCUUGCAUUGAUUACGUCCCUGCCCUUUGUACACACCGCCCGUCGCUCCUACCGAUUGAAUGAUCCGAUGAAUAUCAUGGAUUGAGGAUGCAAGCAGGUUCGCCUGUCUUCAUCUUCGAGAAGUGAAGUAAAUCUUAUCAUUUAGAGGAAGGAGAAGUCGUAACA